rnacentral:rRNA from 1 species
CGUGUAGGCGGUCAGGUAAGUUGGACGUGAAAGCUCCUGGCUCAACUAGGAGAGGUCGUUCAAAACUGCCUGGCUAGGGGGCGACAGAGGGUGGUGGAAUUCCCGGUGUAGUGGUGAAAUGCGUAGAUAUCGGGAGGAACACCAGUGGCGAAGGCGGCCUCCUGGGUCGCACCUGACGCUCAGACGCGAAAGCUAGGGGAGCGAACG